GUAGGUGGCGAGCGUUGUCCGGAAUUAUUGGGCGUAAAGCGCGCGCAGGUGGUUCUUUAAGUCUGAUGUGAAAGCCCCCGGCUCAACCGGGGAGGGUCAUUGGAAACUGGGGAACUUGAGUGCAGGAGAGGAAAGUGGAAUUCCACGUGUAGCGGUGAGAUGCGUAGAUAUGCGGAGGAACACCAGUGGCGAGGGCGACUUUCUGGCCUGUAACUGACACUGAGGCGCGAAAGCGUGGGGAGCAAACAGGGAUUAGAUACCCUGGUAGUCCACGCCGUAAACGAUGAGUGCUAAGCGUUGGGGGGGUUUCCCGCCCCUCAGUGCUGCAGCUAACGCAUUAAGCACUCCGCCUGGGGAGUACGGUCGCAAGACUG
rnacentral:rRNA from 1 species